CUUGACGGAGCCGAGCAGCAGCGGACGGUCCCCGGGCCGUUCCCGUCCGUACGUCGCCAGCAGGGCCUGCGCCUC
rnacentral:antisense_RNA from 1 species